rnacentral:rRNA from 1 species
GGACUACACGGGUAUCUAAUCCUGUUUGCUCCCCACGCUUUCGUGCCUCAGCGUCAGUUGCCGUCCAGAGAGUCGCUUUCGCCACCGGUAUUCCUCCCGAUAUCUACGCAUUUCACCGCUACACCGGGAAUUCCACUCUCCCCUCCGGCACUCAAGCCUCUCAGUUUCUAGCGCACUUCCAGGGCUGAGCCCUGGGCUUUCACGCCAGACUUGAGAGACCGCCUACGCACCCUUUACGCCCAGUGAUUCCGAGCAACGCUUGCACCCUCCGUCUUACCGCGGCUGCUGGCAC